GGGAAUCCUUGCGGCCGAAUAUCCAAGGUUUCCAGAGUAAAGCUGAUCUGCUCUGGGUAAGUCGGGGCCUAAGGAGAGGCAGAGAUGCGUAUCCGAUGGACAGCAGGUUUAAGAUUCCUGCACCCCUUGUUAUCAGAACUGCGGGGACACGGGAAGGGAAGCAGAGCCGGGAAUGGAAAGCCCGGUGCAAGCGGAGUAGUCGCAGGGUUGGAAAAUCCGCCCUGCAUGAGACGAAGGCGUGAUGCGGAGCGAAAUGAAGUAGUGAAGCUGCAGCCCCUUCCUGUCGAGAAAAGCCGCUAUCGUGUAGCAAGGGCCCGUACCGUAAACCGACACAGGUGGAUGAGGAGAGGAUCCUAAGGCCGGCGGGAGAAGUGUUGUUAAGGAACUCGGCAAAAUGACUCCGUAACUUCGGGAGAAGGAGUGCUGCGCAAGCAGCCGCAGAGAAAUGGCCCAAGCAACUGUUUAGCAAAAACACAGGUCUAUGCGAAACCGAAAGGUGAGGUAUAUGGGCUGACGCCUGCCCGGUGCUGGAAGGUUAAGGGGAGAGCUUAGCGCGAGCGAAGGUUUGAACUUAAGCCCCAGUAAACGGCGGCCGUAACUAUAACGGUCCUAAGGUAGCGAAAUUCCUUGUCGGGUAAGUUCCGACCCGCACGAAAGGCGUAAUGAUUUGGGCACUGUCUCAACAACACACCCGGUGAAAUUGAAAUACCAGUGAAGAUGCUGGUUACCCGCGCCAGGACGGAAAGACCCCAUGGAGCUUUACUCCAGCCUGAUACUGGGAUUCGGUAUUGCAUGUACAGGAUAGGUGGGAGGCUAAGAACUCAUGGCGCCAGCCGUGAGGGAGCCGGUGUUGGGAUACCACCCCUGCAGUACUGGGUUUCUAACCUGCGCCCGUGACCCGGGCGGGGGACAAUGUCAGGCGGGGAGUUUGGCUGGGGCGGUCGCCUCCGAAAGGGUAUCGGAGGCGCUCAAAGGUCUCCUCAGGAUGGUUGGAAACCAUCCAGAGAGUGCAAAGGCAGAAGGAGGCUUGACUGCGACACCGACGGGUGGAGCAGGUACGAAAGUAGGACUUAGUGAUCCGGUGGCAUAAAGUGGGAUUGCCAUCGCUCAACGGAUAAAAGCUACCCUGGGAUAACAUGCUUAUCACUCCCAAGAGUUCACAUCGACGGAGUGGUUUGGCACCUCGAUGUCGGCUCAUCGCAUCCUGGAGCUGGAGCAGGUUCCAAGGGUUGGGCUGUUCGCCCAUUAAAGCGGUACGCGAGCUGGGUUCAGAACGUCGUGAGACAGUUCGGUCCCUAUCCGGCGCGGGCGCAGGAUAUCUGAGAGGAGCUGUCCUUAGUACGAGAGGACCGGGAUGGACCGUCCGCUGGUGGACCGGUUGUCAUGCCAAUGGCACGGCCGGGUAGCCAAGACGGGAAGGGAUAAACGCUGAAGGCAUCUAAGCGUGAAGCCCCCCUCAAGAUGAGAUAUCCAUACUCGAAAGAGUGAGAGACCCCUUAGAGACGAUGAGGUAGAUAGGGCAGAGAUGGAAGUGCAGCGAUGCAUGGAGUUGACUGUUACUAAUCGGUCGAAAGCU
rnacentral:rRNA from 1 species